UAUGAAGGGCUUGGGGUUAUACCGUCGCCAAUCCGGUCAGGUUCGGAAGGAAGCAGCCGUAACGACAGGCGUAAGGUCUAAGUCCCUUCUCCUCG
rnacentral:SRP_RNA from 1 species